rnacentral:rRNA from 1 species
ACUCAAAGGAAUUGACGGGGGCCCGCACAAGCGGUGGAGUAUGUGGUUUAAUUCGAUGCAACGCGAAGAACCUUACCUAGGUUUGACAUCCCGCGAAUCCCCCCGAAAAGGGGGAGUGCCCUUCGGGGAGCGCGGAGACAGGUGCUGCAUGGCUGUCGUCAGCUCGUGCCGUGAGGUGUUGGGUUAAGUCCCGCAACGAGCGCAACCCUUGUCCUUAGUUGCUACCGGGUAAUGCCGGGCACUCUAGGGAGACCGCCUCGGUCAACGGGGAGGAAGGUGGGGACGACGUCAAGUCAUCAUGGCCCUUACGCCUAGGGCUACACACGUACUACAAUGGCGGAUACAAAGGGUAGCUAAGCCGCGAGGUGGAGCCAACCCCAAAAAGUCCGUCUCAGUUCGGAUUGCAGUCUGCAACUCGACUGCAUGAAGCUGGAAUCGCUAGUAAUCGCGCAUCAGCAUGGCGCGGUGAAUACGUUCCCGGGCCUUGUACACACCGCCCGU